rnacentral:rRNA from 1 species
GGACUACCCGCUGAACUUAAGCAUAUCAAUAAGCGGAGGAAAAGAAACCAACAGGGAUUGCCUUAGUAACGGCGAGUGAAGCGGCAAAAGCUCAAAUUUGAAAGCUAGCACCUUCGGUGUUCGCGUUGUAAUUUGAAGAAGGUAUCUUUGGAGUUGGCCCUUGUCUAUGUUCCUUGGAACAGGACGUCAUAGAGGGUGAGAAUCCCGUCUGAUGGGGUGUCCAAUUCUUUGUAAAGAGCCUUCGAAGAGUCGAGUUGUUUGGGAAUGCAGCUCUAAGUGGGUGGUAAAUUCCAUCUAAAGCUAAAUAUUGGCGAGAGACCGAUAGCGAACAAGUACAGUGAUGGAAAGAUGAAAAGAACUUUGAAAAGAGAGUGAAAAAGUACGUGAAAUUGUUGAAAGGGAAGGGCAUUAGAUCAGACUUGGUGUUUUGUGAUUAUCUUCCUCUUGUAGGUUGUGCACUCGCAUUUCACUGGGCCAGCAUCGAUUCGGAUGGCAAGAUAAUGACAUUGGAACGUGGCUACCUUCGGGUAGUGUUAUAGCCUUUGUUGAUGUUGCCUAUCUGGAUCGAGGACUGCGUCUUAUGACUAGGAUGCUGGCGUAAU